rnacentral:rRNA from 1 species
AUUGAACGCUGGCGGCAUGCUUUACACAUACAAGUCGAACGGCAGCGCGGGCUUCGGCCUGGCGGCGAGUGGCGAACGGGUGAGUAAUGCAUCGGAACGUGCCCAGUAGUGGGGGAUAGCCCGGCGAAAGCCGGAUUAAUACCGCAUACGACCUGAGGGUGAAAGCGGGGGACCGAAAGGCCUCGCGCUAUUGGAGCGGCCGAUGUCGGAUUAGCUAGUUGGUGGGGUAAAGGCUUACCAAGGCGACGAUCCGUAGCUGGUCUGAGAGGACGACCAGCCACACUGGGACUGAGACACGGCCCAGACUCCUACGGGAGGCAGCAGUGGGGAAUUUUGGACAAUGGGGGCAACCCUGAUCCAGCCAUGCCGCGUGCGGGAAGAAGGCCUUCGGGUUGUAAACCGCUUUUGUUCGGGAAGAAAUCCUCUGGGCUAAUACCCCGGGGGGAUGACGGUACCGGAAGAAUAAGCACCGGCUAACUACGUG